UGCAAUGAUGAUAACAUGGAAUAUAGGAAGUGCCGUCAGAUGCGAUAACUGACGAUAAUCUCUGUACCUAAUCUGACC
rnacentral:snoRNA from 13 species